rnacentral:tRNA from 1 species
GCUGGCGUAGCUCAGUGGUAGAGCAGCUGAUUUGUAAUCAGCAGGUCACUGGUUCAAAUCCAGUCGUCAGCU